GAUGAACGCUGGCGGCGUGCCUAAUACAUGCAAGUCGAGCGAACAGACGAGGAGCUUGCUCCUCUGACGUUAGCGGCGGACGGGUGAGUAACACGUGAAUAACCUACCUAUAAGACUGGGAUAACUUCGGGAAACCGGAGCUAAUACCGGAUAAUAUAUUGAACCGCAUGGUUCAAUAGUGAAAGACGGUUUUGCUGUCACUUAUAGAUGGAUCCGCGCCGCAUUAGCUAGUUGGUAAGGUAACGGCUUACCAAGGCAACGAUGCGUAGCCGACCUGAGAGGGUGAUCGGCCACACUGGAACUGAGACACGGUCCAGACUCCUACGGGAGGCAGCAGUAGGGAAUCUUCCGCAAUGGGCGAAAGCCUGACGGAGCAACGCCGCGUGAGUGAUGGAGGUCUUCGGAUCUUAAAACUCUGUUAUUAGGGAAGAACAAAUGUGUAAGUAACUAUGCACGUCUUGACGGUACCUAAUCAGAAAGCCACGGCUAACUACGUG
rnacentral:rRNA from 1 species